GUUUAAAUAGCUUAAUAAAGUAGAGUAUUAUAUUGAAGAUAUAAAGGAAAUUGAAAUAAUUUUUAAAUA
rnacentral:tRNA from 1 species